rnacentral:rRNA from 1 species
AAACCUAAAGGCGCAUUGAAAGAGAAAAUCGACCUUGCGUCGAUCGAGGGAGGAUGGGCGAUGUUUUUGCAUCGCUCCGCACUCCCGGGGCGUCUCGUUGUCAUUGCGACAUGAGGCGCACCUAGAGCGUACACGUUGGGACCCGAAAGAUGGUGAACUAUGCCUGGUCAGGAUGAAGU